ensembl:lncRNA
CCCGCCUCUCUUCUCGUCCCCAUCUUCCCCUGUUUCCAGUGCCACAUCCUUCCCUUUUCUAUUCCCUGUUCCUAUUCUUCUGACCCCUGUGUUUCCUUGUCCCUCCCCACUCUCUCCCCCAACAGGAAUCCUUGGUCUUCCAGAUGUCAUUACCCCCAGCAGCAGUGAUGUCUCCUCCCCACCAGGAUGGUCAUCGGAUGUCAGUGAGCAAAGCAGAUCAGGGAACUCAGAGGACACCCCACUGCCUGAUGAGGAUGUAUUGGGGAAUAAAAUGUAGGUAACAAGUAGCAUUAAGUUCAACGCCGGUGCAAUGAUGCCAAAAAUGACUAAUCCAUGUUUGUAACUUUGCAAUUUGUAUUCCUGCCUUUUUAUUUGUCCUUUAAAACAUCACUUCCCAUCCUCACUUGUGACCUGACCCAGUGGGCCUCCUGCCCAGAUAACUGGUACUUUGAAUAACAGCUCCAUUAAUGUUGUGGUGGUCUGUCUUUAGAGGUGUCCCGGCCUUGUCGAUUCUCAUCUAUGCAGCAGUACGUCGGCAGGAGCCAACCUUUGUUGAUCGCAUCAAGGAGAUCCAUCAGCACAGGCUUGGACAUCAGAUAGAUAUCGAUGAAUGAAUUACUUAAUUUUGCUAUUAUGUGACGUUACUCAUGGCUUUGUUUCCCUCUCUGUUCCUCUCGUCCCUGUGGGGUGCAGUCAGCCCCAGAGGGCCGAGAGUAGCCGGCUGCAGGCUUCCUCUGGUAGAAGCAAGAACCAGCAAUGCAAGGAGGCCCUCGGGUUGCCCAACAGGGACAUCACGGGGCAGGAGGACCUCUGGAGCUGCAGGAGAAGAACCCUUCUGAAGCUGCUGAGGUCCAUCAGAGAACCAGACCCUUAGCCCUCUAGAGGAAAACCAGACCCUUAGCCCUCACACUAGAGGAGAACCAGACCCUUAGCCCUCACACUAGAAGAGAACCAGACCCUUAGCCCUCACACUAGAGAACCAGGAGCCCUCACACUAGAGAACCAGACCCUUAGCCCUCACACUAGAGAGUGAACCAGACCCUUAGCCCUCACGCUAGAGAACCAGAAAACCAGACCCUUAGCCUUAAACUCACACUGGAUGAUUUAUGACAA